rnacentral:lncRNA from 1 species
GAAGUUGUGAGUGCAAAAUGUAUUCCUUAUGCAGAUAGCUAAAAGGAUUUAUCCAUACAUCAUAUUCAUAUAUGUAUAGAUUUUUAAAGAAACUCCUAUUUCUGAAUAUUAGUGAAAGUAGAGAUCAUUCUUUCCUUUUUUACACAACUUUGUGACAACAGAAAUAUUAAUAAACUCUUUUCUAGCUCAAGUUCUACGGUUACAGGAGCAGUUGUACUGAUUUCUUAUACCCUUUCAUUGCUUUUUACCUUGGAGCACUCUGAAAGACAUUGCUGUGAGUUUGCUAGCCCAGCAGAGGGUUUGCAUUCACAGGGGAUUUGCAGCAGUGCAUGUCCUGGGGGUGGCUGCCCCCCUGUCACCAGCAGUGCUGAAGCGGGACACAGUGCUCUGGAAGUGUGACCACUUAAUAAAAGGAUGCCAUCUGGUACCUCUCAUGCCCAGGACUGCAGUCAGCAGAGCAUGCACGAUGGAGUCAUCUGCAAGGUAUCAUCAGUGAUGAAGUUACCUGGUACGUUACCUUCUACUGUGCACAGUGAACUGCUGGAUGCUUCAAUGGAAAAGGAGCCUGACUCCUCAUUUAGCACCAGAUAUAGGAAUGCUCAGGAUUCACGCUUUCAUCUAGAUGAACACAUGGGCUAUCUAACCUGUCUUUUAAAAUGGGCUGACAAAAAAUUGCUUCUACUGAUCUGCUGUGUGUGUGUACAUGAGUUCAGUGGAGACUCAGCUCAGAGGAACAAUGAAGACACCGAAGGCCCAGUUACUAAGAGCUGUCUGUGCAGGGAUGAACAAAUGAGGAAAAGCAAAAAGAUAGCAGGAAAAAAUCUCCUGGUGCCACCUGAUCCUCUCACCUGA